CCCAUCGGAACAGAGCUGGGCCUUCACUAGUCUGGACCAUCAGCUGCUCAGAGCCUUGCAUACAGUGGGAGGCUGAGGAAUGUUCUUUCUAGAAGAAUGGUGCUCCAGGCUGACUCCAUACCUCCCACUGAAUGACAAUUGUUCUGAAGGUAGACAUUCUUAUUUCAUCAUCAAGAAAAGCACUCUGUAGUGAACAAGGGCACUUACGCAAUUGGAUUCAUGGAGAGAUGUUUGUUUUUCUCCCACUUGUUUACUGUUGCUGGUGUUAGAUCAAGUCUGGCCUUUACUAUUCCAUUAAAAAAAUGACCAUUUGUGAUUAGAUAUUUACAAAAAUAUAUUCA
rnacentral:lncRNA from 1 species